rnacentral:rRNA from 1 species
GGGAGCUUGCUCCCUGAUGUUAGCGGCGGACGGGUGAGUAACACGUGGGUAACCUGCCUGUAAGACUGGGAUAACUCCGGGAAACCGGGGCUAAUACCGGAUGGUUGUCUGAACCGCAUGGUUCAGACAUAAAAGGUGGCUUCGGCUACCACUUACAGAUGGACCCGCGGCGCAUUAGCUAGUUGGUGAGGUAACGGCUCACCAAGGCGACGAUGCGUAGCCGACCUGAGAGGGUGAUCGGCCACACUGGGACUGAGACACGGCCCAGACUCCUACGGGAGGCAGCAGUAGGGAAUCUUCCGCAAUGGACGAAAGUCUGACGGAGCAACGCCGCGUGAGUGAUGAAGGUUUUCGGAUCGUAAAGCUCUGUUGUUAGGGAAGAACAAGUGCCGUUCAAAUAGGGCGGCACCUUGACGGUACCUAACCAGAAAGCCACGGCUAACUACGUGCCAGCAGCCGCGGUAAUACGUAGGUGGCAAGCGUUGUCCGGAAUUAUUGGGCGUAAAGGGCUCGCAGGCGGUUUCUUAAGUCUGAUGUGAAAGCCCCCGGCUCAACCGGGGAGGGUCAUUGGAAACUGGGGAACUUGAGUGCAGAAGAGGAGAGUGGAAUUCCACGUGUAGCGGUGAAAUGCGUAGAGAUGUGGAGGAACACCAGUGGCGAAGGCGACUCUCUGGUCUGUAACUGACGCUGAGGAGCGAAAGCGUGGGGAGCGAACAGGAUUAGAUACCCUGGUAGUCCACGCCGUAAACGAUGAGUGCUAAGUGUUAGGGGGUUUCCGCCCCUUAGUGCUGCAGCUAACGCAUUAAGCACUCCGCCUGGGGAGUACGGUCGCAAGACUGAACUCAAAGGAAUUGACGGGGGGCCCGCACAAGCGG